AUAUAUAUAUAAAAGAAAGAAAGAAAAGAAACAGAGAGCAAAACAAAACAGAGAAGGGAGAAAGAAAGAAACAGAGAGCAAAACGAAACAGAGAAGGAAGGAAGGAAGGAAAGAAAAGAAAAAGGGAAAUUUGGGGUUUUAAGGUUCAAAGUAAUUUGGUAAGUCAAUUUAAUCCCCUUUUCUCUUAAUUUUGAUAUUUUUUUUGAAAUUCUAGAAUAAAAUACUACUUGAUUUAAGUUGAAAUUUUGAAAGUUAGUAGAUUAUUAAGCAUGGUUCAUGUUGAAUAAAUUGUUAAAUUAGGGAUGUAUUUGAUAGAAAUUUUGAUUGGAAUUGAAUAAAGGAUUGAAUUGUAAAUUAAACUAUAAGUUUUGAAUUUUAGGGAUUAAUUUGAAAUAAAUUCGGAAUUAUGAAAACAUGAUAAAAAUUAAAUAGUUAAAUAUGAGUUUAGUAAGAAUUAAGAGAGAAUAUAGAGUUAGAUUGGGAAAAAUAAAAUUAGUAUUGGUAAGGGAUUAAAUUAGAAUUUGGGUAAAGUUUAGGUAUAAAAGGAAAUAUUUUAAUGAAAUUGUGUAUUAAUGAUUUUUAAUUGUUUAAUUACGUAGCUAAUGUCGUGUACGAGUCAUUGUCCGAGAAAGGAAAGGAGAAAGUGGACAAGGAGUGACUCGAGAGAAAUUACGGUUAGUAUUACUAUAAUUCGAAUUUAAUUAUUAAUCGUUGAAAAUUAAAUUAAUAUACACGAUAAGCAAAUUGAGGUGAGUUUCAUAAUUGAAUUGAAUAAUAUAUAUACGUAUUGAUAUUGAAUUUAUUGACAGUAAUUAUUGAAUUUUGAAUAAUAUGUUAGUAAAUAAAAAUAAGGAGAAUAUCAAUAUUUAAUUGAAUGAAUUAAAAUAUGAAUUGAAUAAAUGAGAUAUUAAAUUGAGAUAUGUGAAUAUGUGAAUUGUGUAUUGAUUGAAAAGUGGUUUGAAUUGAAUCGAAGUAUGAUUAUAUGUGAAUAUCUGAAAUAUGUAUUGGUAUUGAAUUGUAUAUUGAUUUGAAAGUGGGAAGUGAAUCUGAGUUGAAUUGCGAUUAAAUCGAAAGUGAAUUUGAAAUAGAAAAAUGUAUUGAAACAAAUGGUGAUUAAAUGGGAAUGAUUUGAAUUGAAAGUAUGAGAAAGUGAUUGAAUUGAAAUGUGAUUCGGAAACCCUAUUAACUAGUCGGGCUGAGUCGGAUAUAGUUGGCAUGCCAUAGGAUUGGAAGAGUUCAGGGAUACUUCGACCUUGAGUCGAUGAGACACUGGGUGUCACUAUAUUUCUUCGGAUAGAUUCGAUGAGGUACUGGGUACCAACUUUACUUCGGUUGGGCCGAUGAGACACUGGGUGUCAACUAUUGCUUCGAACUAUCCGAUGAGGCACUGGGUGCCAUUUUGGUGUGUUUGGUUGGAUCCGUGUAUCCGCCAAGGUCCGAGUCUUGUUAAUAGGGGUAAAUAAUUGAAAUGAGAAAAUUGAAUAAAUGUGAUUGAUUGAGCUAUGGGAAGAAACGAAAAAGUGAAGUUGUGAAUUGAUGUGUGAAUUGGAAAUCGAAAUAAGAGAUUUAAAGAUAUGAGCCCAAAGUUCAUGAUGUGAUAAAGAGUAAAUUUUGUUAUAUGAUAUUAGUGAGUACAAAUUGCAAUAAAAUUUAUAUUGAAUAUAAAUUAAAUGAAAUGAAUUGUAUAUGAAUUGAAAUGAACUAUUGGAAUGAGAUGUAAAGAAAAAUCCAAUGGAAUUGAGAUAGUGAAAUAAGGUAUGAAUACAAUUAAAUACAAGAUUUGAAUUAUAGCUUAUUGUUAUUAAUUAUCAAGUUGAUUUAAUGCAUGAGAUAAUUAAUGAAUAAUUGUAGACAUAAAUAAAAUGUAUAUAAUUUAUCGAUUAAUGUUAUUAAUUCGAAUUAUGGUAAUACCACUGAGUAUUUCCAUACUCAGCGUAUGGUUGUUUCCGUGCGCAGGUUAGGUCAAAGUCGGAUUGUUGAAUCAGCAUCCAAAGCCGAUUCUGAGCUAAUUGUGGUGGUGAACAUUUCUUUUAGUUAUGGCAUGUAUAGGAAUUUAGUAAUUUUGUAUAUUUGUAAAUAUGAUUUUACUAUAGAAUGAUAUGUAAGUAUUUGAUGAUGAAUGGUUGUUUAAAUGGUCAAGGAUGAAGUUAAUUAUUGUUAUAAAAGUCUAAGUGAUAAAUUAGGUAUGAAAGUCAUAAAAUGGUAAAAUUUUGCAAAGAAACAGAAUUCAGGCAGCAAUAGUGACGUGAAUUUGAAAAAUCACCUAAGAUAGUAUAAAACGAAUUAGAGGGUGAAUGAUAUAUGGAAUUAAAGCUUGUUGAGUCUAUUUUCAUGGAAAAAUAACGGUGUAGAGAAAAGAAAUUUAUAUUUUAAGAUAUGUGAAUUUUAGUAAGAUAGGGUCAGAACUGUUUUUGGAGUCCCCUGUUCUGAGUUUAGAAAAUAAUUAAAAAUUGUACAAAAAUGUUUAUGAGUUGAAAUUUACAUGCUUAGAUUCCUUAAUGAGUCUAUUUUCUAUAGAAACAAGUAAGAACUUCAUAUGAAAAUCCUAUAGUGAGAAAACUUAUUUUUAGUGACUAGAGGUCAGGGCAGUCUGGUGGUGACACAGGGGAGACUUUAACUAAUAAACUGUACUAAUUUGCUGAACCAAAAAUUCUAAAAAUUUUAUGGUGAGUAUAUAUAUGAGUCUAGUUUCAGGAAAAAUUUACGAAAUUAAAUUUGGAGUUCCGUAGCUCGAGUUAUAAUCAAUUUAGUAACUGCUGCGCGAUUGGACAGAUUACUGUAAACAGUGAAAUUAAUUUUUAAAAC
rnacentral:lncRNA from 1 species